AGCGAACGCUGGCGGCAGGCUUAACACAUGCAAGUCGAGCGGGCACCUUUCGGGGUGUCAGCGGCGGACGGGUGAGUAACGCGUGGGAACGUGCCCUCUGGUUCGGAAUAACUCAGGGACACUUGAGCUAAUACCGGAUACGCCCUUUUGGGGAAAGGCUUGCUGCCGGAGGAUCGGCCCGCGUCUGAUUAGCUAGUUGGUGAGGUAACGGCUCACCAAGGCGACGAUCAGUAGCUGGUCUGAGAGGAUGAUCAGCCACACUGGGACUGAGACACGGCCCAGACUCCUACGGGAGGCAGCAGUGGGGAAUAUUGGACAAUGGGCGCAAGCCUGAUCCAGCCAUGCCGCGUGAGUGAUGAAGGCCUUAGGGUUGUAAAGCUCUUUUAUCCGGGACGAUAAUGACGGUACCGGAGGAAUAAGCCCCGGCUAACUUCGUG
rnacentral:rRNA from 1 species